rnacentral:lncRNA from 1 species
AUAGAAGGUGUUUGCAGUUGAAAGACACAGGUAGGGGCUACAAGAAGCAGAAACUGUUAUUGAUUGAUUAGUGUGUAGUUUGAAGUUGAUGCCAUGGGUCUAAUGUUACAGAAAUAACCCAUAACCCAUUGUCUGUGAAGUACGUGACAGAUACUUGGUGAUAACUAGGACCCUAUACGAAUACAUGCAGAGAGAAAGAGAAAGAGAAAGAGAAAGAGAUAGAGAUAGGGUUUGAUAUAUAGGUGGUGGUGAGUGAUGAAGUUCCAAUUCUGAAUUUUGAUUUUGGCUAUGUUUUUGGUGUGCUAACUAUGCAUUAGCUCUGCGCCGGCCUCCUACUGCUUCAUAAUUAAGACCCAAUUAACUUACCUUUAUAUUCACUUCAAUAAGUGAAAAGAAUUAUACAUACCACAUAUAUUUUGUUUUUUUUUAUAUAUAUAUAAAAAAAUAAUCUUUUUUAAAUUG